GACCCAGAAGUGGAGCAUUGCAGAGGUAAGAGCAUGGGCAGGAGAAAAUCAGUAAGAUGUUUCCUGUAAAAGCCUUUUGCCAGACAAGAGGAAUCAUUACCACGAUGAUACUUCUAAUUAUAAUGUCAUUAGGGCACCACUGCAGGUUCCUAUGGCGCAUGAAGUUUUUCAGCAUCUUGAUCCAAAAUGGGCAAAAUGUAGGCAUUAACCCUUUCACUGGAAGUAGACUUGAAUAUCUAGGCAAGCUGAAAGAACACAACUUAUUUUGAAGUUAAGUCAUAGUAUUGCUGAGAGUUCUGGAAAAUUUAGCAGUUGUAAAGAAUACUGAAGAGUAAUUCCCCUGAUCCUUCUGCAUUCAUGCCAGAUGUCACAGAUGGACAAUUGAUGAUAUGUGUUUCUCAAGACACCAAAAAGGUAAAGAUAAUGUACUUUGUUGCUGAUCUAAUUUUUGUCUGACUGGAAAACAGGACGCGAAGUUUCUGGCACAAAGUUGUUGCCCAAACCUUUGAAGAAUAGCCAAGAGCAGAUAACAAACAGGCCUACAGACAAUAUUGCUCAAAGUCACAUUCAACUCCUUAAGCAGCUGUUCAAUCUGUGAAGUGAAAAAUUCUUCUAUUUUUGUGUAAUUUUCAAACUGCUGAUGAUACUAUAACAUAUUCUCUCGGCUUUUCUCUUUGUUUAGGCAGCCUGGAUUUAUACCUUCAAAUCUUGGCUCUAGGAUGGUUCCAAAAGCACAAUCAUGCAUGCAGAUACCACCAAACGUGUCAAAAAUGUUAUGCUAUUAAAUGCUAUGAUAAAACCUUCUACUUAGUGCUACAGUGCUUCUAGAAUUUGUCUUACAGGUCCAAGUUGAUCUUGCCUGUAACUGACCUGUAAAGGAACAUUUCCUGGCUUUGCACAGUGCUGACACUGUGUUCGUGUUGCUCUGGACUGAGUCUAGCUCCUGGUUUGCUCUUCAGGAGUCAGACAGUUAAACCACAAGCCAACUCUGCCACUCUGGAACAAAAUAACAUCCUCUUCAGUGUUUCAGGAUUUACAGAAUGUUAAAUGGGCACAGCGUUCCCCCAGAAUCCCAACCCAGUAGGGUGUUCCCAGGCAGGGGCUACUCCAAGCUUAGGCGUGCAUAGGAGAUCCCAGAUUAGAAGCCUACUGCCAGAGAUACCUUGAGGAAGGGGAUUUUGAGCACUGCGUUAUGCCUUAUGCAGACAGCGUGAAUGAUGGGAUGUCCAGUUUUCCAAUGGACAAAAUUGCACAGGGCAGGUUGAUCAGAGUAACAGAUACCAUGACAACCAAAUAUGUUCAAAGCAAAAGGACAAAAGACAAGAGAGGAAUUUUAAAGGGGGAGGAGGCAGCAAUAACAUUAUUAAUAUAUCCCUGUGUUCUGAAGGAGUGGCUUUUUUUGUGAAACUCAGCAAGUUGUGACCCUGAGCAGUGCCACUGCCGUAGCGCAAUCUGCGUGGUACAAAGUUGGGAUGUGGCAUGAAGAUUUUGUGAAUUCCAGAAGCUCCUCUUUGAUGACUAAGUAGUUAUUAGCUCUUUGAGACUGAGUACCAUUUGGGUAAUUGGCAAGUGGACUGUGACCUGAAGGACUGAUAAACUGGAGGGAAAUCAUUCAAAAUUCUUUUCAGUUUUCCUCCAUACUGCUUUUGUUUCAUGUUCAGACAACUCAAUCUAAAACAUGAAACGUUAUUUUCAGAAGAGCAAUCAUAAUUGGCAUAAUUUGAAGAAAAAAAAAACUAGUAGCACUUGCUAAUAUGGGCAGAAUUCAAUUAAUAAAACACCACAUACUGUGGCUGGUUUGUUUCUAAAAUACACUUAUGUAAUUUAAAAGACAAAUGUGUUGUCUGUGGUGGUCAUUAUUUUAAAGACAGCAGGGUUUAUCCCUUACAUCCCAUUUUUUAAUCUGUGGUUUUAUUGACACUUUGAAAGCUAACAGCCUAGCAGGUUGUUCCUAGGUAGGAAUUCUACCCAAAAGAACAGUUUGUAGAACUGUACUCAUUUAACUGACAUUACAAAGUUGUCCUGCACAUGCAAAAAAAGAACUUUUCACAUGAUGUGAGAAAGACUCUACACCUGUGAUAACGAAGAACACUUCCCAUUAGCAAUGUAAGUAUGUAGAUUUGUCGUUACUUAUUCAGAAAUCAGCCUGCAGGCCCAAGAUGACCUGCUCUUCACCUCACCAAUCCCGCUCCUGCUGCAUCUCACAUGAGGUAGGUGCACUUCUAUUUCAACCCUAAAAGUGGGACUGUUCAUCUUUCUGAAUCAGCUACAUGGGCUGAGUCCUUCUCUUCCACUGCACCAAAUCCUUGCAGGGACGUGUUUUCAGGUGAGCUUUAUUAUUCAGUGUGCACCUUUAUAAGGUUCUGGAAGGCAAAGCUCUCAGGCCACCUUACUCGUUUUUGCAUAGUACCAAAGAGUGUUUUUUGAAAGCCUUUUAGGAUCAGCUUUUUUCUUGGAGUGGUGUCAAUCAUCAAGAAUUUUUAAAUAUUUUACCUAACCAACUACUACUUAUUCCUUUUGAAAGAAAAGCAAAUGAUUACAUGCAGCCCUGGCCAUUUUGCACUCACAUAUCCCUACCUUAUCUCUGCUCCAUAAAGCACCCAGAAGAUGUGUGUGGGCUCCGGUCUGCUCCUCACUUUCACUGCCCACUGAGGGACUUCAAGCAUGAAAGAGCUGUCCUGGUGCACACCCACCUCCGGACAUGGAGAGGAAAUCCCAAGUGAGUACUUUAGGAUAAGUACCCUGAGAUGGUCUUUGGUUGGCUUUGGUUUUCAUACAUUUGUGACAUGAAAUCACCUAAAAACGUAACUUUGCAGUUUAGAUAGAUCUUUGAUGGAAAAAAUGUUUCAGUUAACCUCAUGUAUAAUAAUGGGUAAUUACCUCAGUUCAUAUCUCCUGGAAAUCCCUUUUUAAUACUUUUUUUAUUAUUAUUAUUGUUUUGGGCUACAAAGCAAUUUGCAUGAUGUUUUUUCUCCUUCCCUAGCUAUCUCUCCCUCUCACCACUGCUCACCUUUAUAAACUGAUUUCUGCCUUCUUCCUGGGCUACAAAAUGACAGCGCUUACUAUCUGUCCAGUCGUCUGUUCCUGUUUAGCCAGUAAGUGGAACAUUUCCUAUGACUUUCUUCAGAUAAUGAUCCUCUUUUUCCACAUCUAGGGGGCCUCUAUUGUAUAUAAUCUCUGCAAGAUAAGAGCUUAAUAAAUAACUCUUUUUUAUAGUAUUUUUUUUUUAAUUCUGUACGUCUAGAACACCUGCUCUGCUGCUGCUUGUAGAUUUUUAGGUAAUUUGACUUUAAUUUUUAUAUAAAGAAGAGAUAUGAAACUUCCUCCUGACAUAAUUAGAAAACUAAAAUGUAAGUUUGCUCGCUGAAAACUAUAUCUUGGAGUUCUUUUGCAAUACAAGUUAAUUAACUGGAUUUAGAUAUUUGCAAGACGAUAUAUUUAAUGGGAUUACUGCUCAUAUAAUGUUCUCAGUGACUGAUUUGGAAUCUAAGCUCAGGGAACAGAAUACCGAAUUUCCAGCUCUUUGAGAGUUAAUGUUGUGUUAAGGAAAAGUACAAUUUGAACCUCAUUGUUCAUGAAUAGCGAAGUUAUUCCGGUGAAAUGGAGCCGGUGCCUACAAGGGCUACACGAGGCAGAUGCAUGAGCGGGAGCGCAGACAGCGUCAUUCCUGCGAGUGCUCGGCUACAGAUAUCCCCGCACCUGAACUCCUGGCAAGUUCAAGGCAAUUGCGUAUCUCAUCACAACAUAAUGGCCCUUUAUUCAGCCCCCGUCUCCCAAGUGGGAUCAAUUAGAUGCUUUGGUCUGCAGGCUUGAGAAUAAACAUUUGUGUUUUCGUUUAUAUUUAGAGUGAAAAUGAAGACGCGUGGCCACAGCCGUUCUGCCCGCAUCCGUCGUGUUUUGAAACAAAGGUUUAAUCAGCUCUUUCAAAAUAUUGAUUGCCUUUUUAAUAGGAAAAGGUAGAAAGUUAAAUGACAGCAAGCUCUGGGGAAAAAUGCAAUAGCCCUGCACAGAACAUUUCAGUGCGCCAAUAAAUCUCGCAUUAGCGUCUAUCUUCUCAUUAAGGCAAAUAUAUUUCUAUGUGUCAAUUUGGUUCACUACAAUGUUAGAGUUUCACUCCUAACACAGGAUUUCUCUAAUGAAUAUGGUAAUUUAAAUCUUAUGAUCAGAGUACUACUUUUAUAGAAAUUUGAACAUUUUUUGUUUAAAUGCUAUUAACCGUUUCAAUAUUAGCUCAGUCAAAUAGCUAUUAGAUGGGGAAAUUUAUAUUCUCACUAUAAGGAAUGGAUGUGUAAUUCUACAGUGCUUCUACAUUCUAACACUUUUUUAAAGUACUUGACAAGUAGAAUGGUGAUUCGUGUUUAACGUGUUCGAUUUUAAAAUUUAACCAGCAUUCCAAAGCUCUGGUGAGUUCAAAUGCCUUAACAUUUUUAUUUAUGAUUGUAAUUUUAUUUUUAAGCAUUGAUAAAGUGAAGUCUUAAAAAUCUAACUGGAUAAGAACAUUUAGAUGACAGUGGUUCACCAGGACACAAGUGGGAAAGGGAAAGAAAAUCCCAUGGAGAGAAGGAAACUCUUAUAUACCUGCAUGCAUCUUCCUAAGAUAUGACACAAAAUACUACUGAAGUGAUACUUGCCUUGUUUUGAUCUUGAUUUGGGGGGGAGGUUGUUUGGUUUUGAAUGACCUGUCAAACUGAGAGUUGUGCCAAGGCAACCUUGGCAUCUGAUGUUUUACAUGGCUGCUACGUUACAAGUAUUCCAUUCCAAGUAUUUUAGUCCUUGAAUAAAUUGCUCUUAUUAAGCUAAUUUUGGAUCCAUUCUGUUUAUGAAUGCAUAAAAAUAUUCCUGACUGUUUUCCAGGCUUUUCAAGACAACUAUGAGAUGUACCCUAUGAUGUGAGCAAUCACUAAACAGACUACAACAGAUUAAUAGUUCACAGAAACCUCUUAAAACAUCCUAAGCUCAUAAAUUUGUAAAGAGUUUGUGAUCUUGAGUUAUUAUAUUCUAUGAUUUUCCAUCAAAGGAAUUUGAAUCGUGCCUUUAUAUUCCUGUCCUGUAGCAAAAUAUGCUUGUUUCCAGCCAGGGCUUUCACUGAUGUAAACCCAGAUACUGGUGUUCCUGGAUUGAACAGCAAUGCAACCCUACGAGGGGGAAUUCCAUAGCUGAGAGAGAGCUUUUUUUUCUCAGUAUGUGUCAUGGAAAAGAAAAACACGAUCAUUUAACAACUUUCUUCCAAGCAUGAGCGCGUCUUUGAGCUUACAAAGUCAGGUUUUUGUGAUGAAGAGCUUUCAUUCAUAGGUAUUUCUUUAAAAAAAAAAAAAUACAACCAAUUGUGGAACUAGCAAGAUGAUGGUUAUGAGUGCACAGCAAUAUCCCAUGUCCAGGAACUGCAUCUGCAGCAUCAGAGUGCAGGAUGAAGAGCAUUUCAGGAAGGUAGGAUUCAAUGAACCCACGGCAGUUUGUCAGGAACUCUACAACAAGUAGUCCCAGUGCUUUUCUUUCAUAUUGAAUACAUGGAAUUAGUGCUCUUAGUGCACACAGAGAGCAGGAAGAUAACAAACUACUGCUUGGACAAAGCAGAUUUGACCUACAUAUAGGAGUGGACGCAGCCAAGGGUGGAGCUUCUGAUUGAAUGGUGUUAGCAUCAGUUGUGGUUGGGAAUUUUGCAAACAGUUACAACAGCAGUGAAGAACUUAUUACAAAUAAGUCCCGUAAGUCUGGAUAUUCUGCUGUUCACGAGGAAUAUAAAAUGAGUGCAGACUGGUGGAACUUAGAUGAAACCAUGCCUAAGACAUAAGAACACACCGUCUGUCAGAACGGAAGUACUUUACAAGUCAAGCGUUGCCAGCCAGAACAUCUGAAAAUGUUUUGACAGUAUCAGAAUGUAUCUUUUGGAAUGAACUGAUAAUGCUGUUUUGUCUUCCAAUCCAACUUUUUUUUUCUCUCAGCUUUCUGUUUUACUGAAAGAAUAAGUGGAACUGAAGCUAAGGGUGGCAGAACAUGUGUGUAAAUUAGAUUAAUUUUUCUCCUAGUUGCAGAAAGCAGAAUAGUUUCUAGUUUAUCUUGACAGAUGCAUUUCACAACUAUCUUCUAUCUUAUGCCUUCAAUCCAGAGAGAGGUGAGAAAAAUACAGUGCUGUCCUAUUGAAAAGGCAAUAUCUAAAACUACUCAGCAGUUUGUUGCUGCAUUAGUCCAAGAAUAAUUUAAUUCUGUACUAACAGCAAUUUAGAAAGCACGAAAAUGAAGCUAGAACAUUUCUAAACUAAUUGUUUGCUACACACGUUGAUUAACAGUGCUCUGCAGGAAUUAAUUGAUCCAAGGGCAGGAUCUGGCACUACGGCAGCAACGCUCUUCUUGCAGUGCUCAUAUGAGGUGACUGCACUCACAGCUCCUCAGACUGUGCUACGAAUUGUUUUUCAAACACAUCAUCUGUCCUUGCAGAGAGCCGCUGGAGAUCCUCAGACCAGGCCUGAGCACAGCUAGGUAUUGGCUGUUUCAAUUACAGCUCAAAUACAUCACGCAGAUGGAGGAGUGCACUGGGCAUGCAUUUGGCAUCCCAGGGCAGAUGGCUUUUCCCAAAAUGAGAGCCUGUGGAAAGCUGUUUUCAUCUUCCCAAGCUUCUGGCCUGAUGGACUUCAGCACAAAUGCGUUUCCAAAUAAUGAAUCUGCAGUUCACUUUCUGGCCGAGGUGAACGAGCACACGUUAACUCAUUCAGAAAGGAGAUGAAAAGCUCACAUUCAGGAUGCAUUAAUCUGAAAACAAGUGUACUUUUGUGUCUGGGGAGUAUUAUUUUCAUUGCCAUCAAUUUAGAACAUAGAUAGACUGUGAUUCUAGCUUCACUAUCAGGUUGCCCCACAGGCUGAGACCCCUCACCAGGCCAUUCUAUUUAAUUUAGACUAAUCUAAAGCUGAGUGAAACUUUGUACCCUCUCUGAUUUCUCCCUAUAAUCAGGAACACUCUGAUUUCCCCUUCCCCCAUGACCCAGUCUGAGUGGCUGGGAGAUGGGGGAGAGGUACUCAGGAAAGCGACCUCCAGGUAAAGGCAGCAGCUAUUUGUGCCAGCCUGUCUGCUUGCCUAAUAACAGGUGGCAAACAUGUCCAACCAUAUCAUCCCUAGCUCUUGUUCUGUUUGAAUUUCUCUUUACUUUACACACAAUUCUUGGGAAGGCGUAAUCCUUUACACUUUUGCAUGUGAGUUUUUCAAGGCAUUGCACAUGUCAGCGGAGAUAAAUCUCCCAUGGAAGAGGCUGAAAUCCUAAUGCUGUUCUUCCACCAUUAUGCUCCUAGGUUUGGGUGGAAUUUGAUGGGGCAGAGGUUGUGCCCUAUAGUUUUAAUGUUGGGGUGUUUUUGGUCAGUGUUGUUUUGUCUGUGUUUAGAGGCAUCAAUAUGCACAAGAGAAUCUGUUUUGGACAGUAUCCAAGGUCAAAAAGAAUUCAGCAGCUUUGGCAAAAUGUUCCCUUCUGUCUGUGGUUUACAGAUUCAUCCAUAUGUGAGAUCUUAAAGAAGUAUCUUUCACUCUCUGUUGCUAUCAUCUCUGAUAAUUAGACUUGGCUUUGCUGCUUUCUCUCUCUCCCCGUCUUUCUUUUGUUUUAAACACCACAUGACUGCUUUCAGUGGAUAAGGCAAGUGGAGAAGAAAAGGAUCCAGUAGUGGCCCUCAACUGGCAGGCACUCAGCAAGCAAAUCAGCAGGUUCCCCUGCUAAAGAACCAUGCUGACAUCUAGUUAAUGUUCUUAUUUGCUAAAGUAAUGAGACUCAACCUGCCUGUGACUCUCAAUCUUUUACAAACCAAAAUUUGUAGUCUUUGCUCAUAGGCAAGAAAAAAAAAUGAUCUGCAGUAGCCCCAAGUUUAAAUCAGCAAAUUUGUUUCGUAAACAGCAGAAGUACCCGGGGUGCAGUUCUCCGGGGGGAGCUCAGGUGCGAUGGGCUCUUCCAGUCCUCUCCUCUUCUGGCAGUUGUUAAGUUUGUCGCAUACCUAAAUAUGCCAAGUGUAACCCACAGCAGGAGGGGGUUGUCAGAGGACAAAUAUAAUUUUUAUUCUCCUCUCUGAUGUAACUGUGGGUCAGUCAUCUCGUGGUCCUCACAGAUGAUUGGUUCACUGGUAUUAUUUAUCUCAUUUUGGUCCAACAACAGAGACCAUAGACACUCAUAACUUCCCCUUGAAGCAACCAUUCUACUAAUUAAAAUGAAAAGCGCCUGAUUCUGUUUCUCCUAAAAAUAUAAUUCUUUUUCUGAUUAGAGAUGCAAUUUAAAAAAAAAAAAAAAAAAGGCAAAAAUGGGUAUCUUAUUUUUGUCUGUUGGCUCACAAAACCUGCAUGAACACGAGUUUUAUGUGUGUGAAACUGCCAAAUUGGAGCCAGGGUAGAAACUCUCAAGGGUCUGAAUGUUGAGCAAAAGAGAUAGAUGAAACAGCUGAGUUACUGAACUGAGAAACAUAUGUGCUGUACUUACACAUUUACCAGCGCUCUAAAGAUUUUCUGAUAUGUGGCUGCUCUCUUGAAAAUUAUUUACAUGGCAUUCUGGAGUUGUUCCCACAGAUAUGAUUCCAUUUUGAUCUGCCAAUUACAUUAUGUGCUGUUGCAAAGAAGUUUGUAAAUGAGUCUUUGUUCCUUAGAUGGAAAGCGUUUUGAAGGAGUUCUACCAGCCUGAUGGUAAAUCAUGAACGUCAAAAAUGAGGCUGUCUAAAAAUACAUUAGAGGUUGAUGUAAACAUUGCUGGUAUCAGAGGAGAUGGUUCCCAUCAACUUUUGGGAAUGCUGAAUCUGAUGUCCCUUUACAUACACCAAGUUGCUCAGGACAGACCUCCUCCUUCAUGAUGCCCAUGGAAAUCACUGCAGAUUUGACAGCUCUGGCUCCUGGUAACUCCUGUGGGCUCCUCGAGUCCAUAGCAAGGACAGCUGCCCAAAGCCAAGGUUCACCCUCAUGGGAGGUGGGUACAGAAAAAAAGUCUGCUGUUCAGCUGGACCAGGAAGAGAAGUGGAGAAGUUUUCAGUGGCAUUUUCAGAGGUGUUUCACAGCCAGGAGUGUUACAGGAGUGGAAGACCUUGUGCUUUUGAUAAGUCUGUGCCACAGUGGGAUUCUGGCAUCCCUUAGAUGAGUCUGAAGAAAACUGGGCUGGGCAUUUCCAGAACCCAUUCCUUAUAAUGGAACAAGCUUCGAAGGACAUUGCUAACCUCCAUUAGAAGUGUUUAAUUCGUUCCCCCAUUACCUUCCAAAAAGAAUACUACAUAUGGAAGAUGAUGUUCCACUUUCUAAAAGGUGCUUGGUUGGGUGUCAUUGUUUAUAUAAAAACUGUUACACCUGGAAAGGAAGGUAUCUGUACUUUGAAUCUUAUGCAUUCCCUUUGUCUUGAUGGUCCUUCCAGAGGCAAGCUCUAUAUGGAGUGGGAGUGUCGAUAACCUCAUCCUGCAACUUUCCAUGCCUCUCAGACACACUGGGCUUCUCCUGCCUCCCUGCAGGUCAAGACCAUGAAUUUUACUUGAUACUCUCUUUGAGAGGAGUUAAGAAAAGAGAAAUCUGAUGGACUUGGAGAAACUUAUCUAUAAUAAUAUUCAGAUUAGGAGUUUUAUAAGGACUAAUGGCUUUUUGCCUAGAAAUAAAUAGCUGAUGUAGUCCAAACAGGACUUUUCCCUAGGAAAAAAAGAACAGGAGCAAAUGGAUGCGGAGGAGAUGGUAAAGAAAAAAAAAAAAGAAAUCCAAUUCUUUUUGAUUUUUUUUCAGAGUCAGGUUGUACAACUUUGGGUUUUCUUCAUAGAGGAGAGGGAGAAAGUAAAAAAACAACACAAAAAAAUGGUGCUACCUGAAAUGAUCAUGAUAGCAAUUAUGCAAUUUUAACGUUAUGCAUCUAUCAACACUAAGGACAUGUCUUUCAGGAGAAAGGACUUGAUUAGGUAUAUUUUGAAUAUAAUUUGUGUUAUAUGAAAAUGUUCAGCUGUACUAAGUUCCAUAUUGACAUAUCCUCUUAAAAAUAUUUUGGUUAUUAUGCAGCAUAGUUUACACCUAGACUAAGUGACUUAUACUUCCACAGUCACUUUCUGAAUUUUCAUACUAAAGAAUACAUGUCUGAGCAGCUUCUCUGUGAACUAAUGAGGAGCUAGAGGUGUCUGAUAAUGGUAGCAAAAGCAGCUAUGUGAGGAAAGAGGUGGUUAAAAGAAAACACAGAGGUGAGAGCUUCCACAGUUGUAGUGCAAACAGUAGACUGAAGGCCCAACAGAACAGAAAAGGUGGAAAUGAUCUUUGGUGACAAAUUCUAACUUGUAAAAGUGCCAGAUUGCCACAUAAGCCAAAGUGAAUUUAGGGCAACAAUAGCUCCACUAGGUUUGGUGUCAGACCAGCCUGUGUGAGGGAGAAGAGUGCUGGAAUCCUGGCAUCUCCCAGAGGUGUUAGAAAAGGGAAACAAUUUGUAUAAAUACAGGAAUUCAACACCAGAAACAAAAUACUGAACUAAUCAGUGAAAUGAGCAUUGAAAUCAGUCUUCAUGCUAAAGCUGGAAGGUUCUGACAUAUCAAAUAGAGCAAGAAUAUCUUCAGGAAUAUGCCAGAAGCUAAUUGGUUUAAGAAAUCUGGCUGUAUAUAGAGACCAUUACUCAUAGAUAUCACGUUUUUCUGUUGCACAAAUUAUCUACAGUGCUCGUGGUGUCUGCUCAAGGAAAAGUUUAUUUUCCUUCAGUCUUUUCUUUUCCCCUGACCUCAAAGGACUAAUUAACAAAGUAUUAGCAUGUUUCUAAAAUAUGACUGAAUUCAUCCUCUUAAGAAAAUGUACUGAAGAAUGUACCCUAUUAUUAGAAAUGACAGGAUGUAUAUAGGGCCAUAUGUUUUCAAAGGGUUUUCUGUCAGUGUUAAUCAAAACUUUGGAGAACUUAUGAACAUACAGAGCAGCACGUCAACCAUAUGGAUAAUAUCUUCUCUUUAAUAGUGAGAAUUUGAAUUAAUAAUAAACAUUGGAGAGUAACCUAGAAUGAGACAGAAACAAUAAUAUUAAGACCAGAACAAGCAGAAUAUCAUAUCAGUCUGAAGACUCCUGAGUAUUUAAAAAAAUCUUAUUGUGCAUUAAAUACUGAUCAUGGAACUACAUUCAUUAAUUUUUGGUAAUUUAGCAUGGAAAGGUAACUCCAAAAAUGCCAUUUAGAUUUGCUGUUUUUUUGUAAAGGACAGAAUUUGCCUCUUACAGCACGCUCUAGUAAACAUCAGUGUCGCACGCUGGUCUGAGUGGUAGAGGUACGUCCAUUGUUGCAGUCUACUUGUUACUGUAAAGGCAUUAGAAUAUUUGUUUGAUGAAACAUGCAUGCACAAAUCAUUUCACGGACUGUGCAAGCAGAUGCAGGAAGAAAGUGGAACCUGUUCCUGAGUUGGCUAACCUGAAAAAUGAUUGAGACUCCAUUAUUUUGAAUAACCCUCCAAGGACUUAACAUCAUGGACCUACCUGUUUUUACAGAUGGCGACUCUCUAAACUAAAUAUUAGGUUUUAUUUUCGCUGUUACCAGCCUGGCUUUAUUUUCUCCUUAGUUAAAAACAAAGUUACAUUUAGAAGUUUGACUGCUCACAUUGAGACCUACAGCCUUCAUCUGCUGGUAAGCACAAUCCAGCCUUUGCAAGGUGAAAAACCAAAUCUUCUACCAGAGACCACAAGAAGAGGAAAUACAACAUUCAGUCUUUGAAGCUAUAAGUUGAGACCUCCCUAUUAUGUAGUGAUAGAUUUUAUUGGUAACUAUCCAUCUGCAUCAGUUACCCAGCCUAGGAGAGAUAUAUUUUCCUUGAAAUUUCUAUUUUAUUUUUCCCUUGAGUCCAUUCUGAUUUUCAGAUUUCCUCUUCUGAUGCUGGUUGAGAAGUGUGUAACUAUGGACAGCACCUUCGGACUGUGAAGUGGUUCUUGCACCUGCUCUUUUCUUUGUUUUUGGAGUAGCCACGGGGGACCAAGGAGCAGAGCUCUUCCCUCCGUUCCCUCUGUGUUAUUCCAUCAUCUCCUGUAAUUUUGCUGUCAGCAUUUGUUCUGCCACACAACAGCCUGUGACUGUCCUGCAGACCUCAGGGGAGCAUCCCUGGUACCCACAGCUUUUUUCCCGUCUGCUGGCAAAUUAUAGCAUGGUGCUUGCUCUGAAAAGUUAUAUGACUGGGAUUAUACAUUUACAGUUCCCCAAGCUGUACACCGUGUGAUUAAUAGAAUUAUUUACUUAUUUAUUAUGAUGAAAUGCACUGCAAUAUGUUUGCAAGACGGACCAGAUCCAAAACCCACUGAAGACGCCCAUGAGCCCUGAGGAAUCACAUUGCCUUGCAGCCACUGUACAGCCAUGAAAACCAGCUGAAAACAAAACCGAGCCUCUUCGGAGAAAGCCCCACAAGUGACCUCUUCAGCAAAGUGGACAAAGAUUUACAUUGGCUUCUCUUCUCCCCGGCUAUCACUUACACUACAUGCACACUGUUGUUCCUCCUGCCUGUGCCAUUGUACUUCCCUUCUAACCUGUUUUCAACCUGCAAAGGCUUUUGCAAGGAAGUCAGCACGCAGCAAUGGUGUGAGCUUACAGCACGUUGGCUGCUUUGUGCUAAUUUCCCAUUAGUGCACAUAGGCGGUAGUUUCGAAGAUAGGUGCGGUGCCUUGUAUGUCAGUGGGUGUUCUAAGGUCUGCAGCUGGGCAGAUGGAUCAGUACUGCCUGACAUAUCAGCUUAUAGUGCAAGGAGACCGUUACUUCAAAUGAAUUUGCUAUGGGACCGUAAAAAGCCUCUGUUAUGAAUAGUCUUCUACAGACAGGAUGAUGUAACAUCCAGUAUAAGGCACCAUAACUGUGUUGUUUACAUUUUUGGUGUGCUGUCCCAUAUAUAAAUCCCCAGUGCUCCAAAAAACAAUGCAUUAAAAGUUAAGGAUGAAUCCAAUCAAUAACCUACUGCGUUAUUCAUGGGUUCAGCGAUGCAGAGUUAAUCCUUUGGGACAAUGACAUUAGGACAUUUGAACAAAACGUACAGCACCCUGCCUAACACCCAGUCUGCACGGAGGAUAAAACCCACUGCUACAACCUUCAUCUUCUCCCUCCAGGGAUAGAGACGUUCCUGCUCAGCACUGGAACUUCUGGAGAUGAUAAACACAAGCAACUCAUCCCCAGCUCCAUCCUGAGCACCUUCAGCAUUGCCACUCAGCACCUCAAAAUUGUGUGCGUCCAAUGCCAACUGCCCACCAUGGCAAAGGAACAAGACAUUUGCUCCAAGUUUCAGUGUUAAUAAAGAAGGUGAAUCUUUCACACCAGUGGUUGCAGAUGUCAUGCACUUGCCUCCUGCUAUUUGGAUCCACUGUGCUGCAGAGAGUGAACCAGGCAAACCCACCUGUAGAGGAGGGCAGGGAAAGUGAAAUCCCGAGCACCAAGCAGAGUCUUGCUGGAGACCACCGAGGAGACACAGCAUCAGCAAUUGCUGACAAAGCCCAUUGCACCAUCAGAACCAAGCCAAGGAUGAAAGAACGUGACACCAAUCUGUAUUUCCAGCAACCUUUGUUGGAAAGGUGGUCUGCGCUCAUGAAUACUGUUGUUAUACCUACAGCCCCCAAAGAGCAACCUACUUGAGCUGUGACAGAGCUGCUCAUAUAACCAAGGGUAUAUGGUUAUGUAGCCUGUCUGGGGAUGUAAGCACAUUUACCUGUAGACUAAAGGAGAUGACCGAAUCCUUGUAAAUGAGCACAAAACAUCGCGAUGCCUAUGCCUUCAAACACCAAAGGAUGAGCAUGAACAGUGUCUCUAGAGCCACUCCAGACUCUAGACACUCAGCACUAGGUGUCCUGUGCUGAGAUACGACUACUGCUACUGACCACAGCUCACGUGCACGUGUCACAGGACCAGUCAAGGUCGUAAACUUAAGCAUAUUUAUAUCUCUUGGUAGGAACAGAGCUGUAAUUAUAUUUUGGGUGUUUCUUGCCUUCUUCAAUUGCUGCCAGUGCUGCUUGUUUGCUACAGCGUAACCCGUGGCAUAUUUUAUAGGUUUUCAACCUUUGCACACAAUGGAUUAGAAAGAAAGUCAAUUAUGCAUAAGAUUGAAAGAGUUAUGUAAAUAUAAAACCAAUAUAAUGUAUUAUUUACAUACAGCCUGUACUUACCCUAAGUAACUUCUGCAGAAACCUGGGCUAUCACAAACAGCUCACACCUAAUUUCUGAGCCCUAUUCCAGAAAAGAGGGGAGGAUUCUGGCUACCUUAAAUCAGUGCUAAUAUUUUCUAGAUGAGAGCAUAUUUGUAUAAGAACAUAACUCAACAUAACACGGAUGGACAACAAGCAGGAUAAAUCUCUAUCAUUUAUUACAUUUGCUGAGCGAUCAAAGGUGUCUAACUAGACAUUUUUCCUCAUUGGUUGUUUGCAUUAGAUAUGCAAAUCUCCUUUCUUGCAGAGCCAUUUCUGAAUAUAUUUGCGAGGCUAUUGAUGUCCAUUACUUCACUUAAAUAUAGAUCAGAAAUACUGACAAAUAUUUUCAUUCAAAGAGUUUGAUCAUUUUCAGAUUACUCUCCAUGCUAGUAAUUAACCUCAGUCAACACCCUUCCAUAGCACUUUCAAACACAGUUCCUAGCAAACAUAAAGUUUCAUAAAUAUGUACUAAAUAACCUUAAAGCCCUUUAUGAAUAAUUAUGAGUUUUUAAGUUUUUGUGAAUCUGCAUAUUAAUUCCACGCCAUAAAUAAUACAUGAAGCAAAAAUCCAGCUUGUUUGGUGUCUGGGGACAGAGAAAGAAAAGGAGGGGAUAAUUAUCAGUUUAAUGUGGGAAAAUACUUAACCUAAAAGAUUAUCUUCAAAACUGAUGACUCUAUAGGUUUGUAUAUACGUGUGUGUAUAAAUACAUAUAAGUAUAUAAAAUAUACGUGUAUGAAGAUAGGUUUGUCUGCAGAUACGCAUCCAGCCUGAGAAAGCCUUAAUUUGAGGCAUGUUACAUUCCUGUCUCCUCUGUGCCAUGCUGAGCUCUUCAAGUGCAAAGUGAUGCGAUGAGCUCAGCCUCCACACAACCCUUCUUUCUAUAAACGUAUGUUCCCCCAAAGGUAGAAAAUUAAUGAGAGGCUGCUGACUAAAAUUACUACAUUUUGCCUUCUGUGGGACAUUAUGGAUUUAAAAGAUAAGCAAGAGUGCAGCAAGUCCAAAAACAAUUUCAUUUCGUUAAUCCUUUAAGUGCCUCGGGAUGAGCAGCCCAUGUCCAGCAAAGGUGAUGCUUCUGCAUGCCUAUUGCACAGCAGUACUUGCACACUCUGCUUCUCGGCUCCACAUGGAAGGCAUCCAGUGGGGUGGGAUGAUGUAUGGCUGAAUGGUCUUAGGCUGACACUUCCUGGAUGCUCGCUGACAGUAAUAGGAAACGUAAGCGGUGUGCAGAGACAGCUCGUAGGUAAAGCAGGGAGUGUGAAUAGGAUUUUUCCUCUUUAUUCCGUACAGCUUACAGCAAAGAAAAGGCAUUUUCUGCUCAAAUGUCUUUGAACAAAACAAAGUGGAAACUAUUAUGUUUCAAAACCAGGACCCGGGAACAUAUUCCAUGUUUGCCUUUGUCAAAGGAGUACAACGAUUUAUAGUUUGGGAAGAAAAUCAUUGCAUUCCAAUUUUAUAUUUUUCAAUAAGUGACUCCAUUUAUUUUUUACAUAUUAAUCCACCUCCAUAAUGAAAAUAGAUUUCACUUCUCAUUUCAAGUCCUUCAGAUCUAUUUCACUUCCCGGUCAUGCUCAGCGCUUGGCUAGGAGAAUGAAAGGCAGUAUUUCAAAUAAUAGCAACUCAAUAGCAAGCCUGUUCUCUUGGUUUUAAUGCAGAAAGAAGAAAAGAUAAACCAAAUUUGUACAAGAAUCUUCAGAGAUAGGAGCACUCCCUUGUUCUGACGCCAUUUCCCAGCCCUGCAGCAUCAGGAGAGCAGUGCUGUUGGUGCGGGGGUGCUGCCGGGAGCAGGGUGAGGGGCUGGGGAUAGGAUCCCACAGAAGCGACUGAAUCCAAAGCUCAACUUAAGACUGCUCAGAAAGAUUCCAGGAGGGGGUGAGGGGCUGCUGGAGGUGCCGGCAGCACUGUCUCGUCACGGCAGCCUGCUAAUUAACCGUGAUGGGUUUUAAAGCCUCAGCUGGAAGCAGCUUCUGGAGAAACGGAUGGAGCACCCAGGUUUGUUUUGUAUCCAAAAAGGGGGACACAGAGUUGAAAAGAAUUGUUGUAAAGGCCUGCAUCAGUGUUAUUCUGCAUCCGUCUGCUUUGCGUACCGUUUGCUAGGAAUUUAUAAAGUAACAUACAUUCAGUAUGAAGGAAAAAAAAAAAACAAACAACAGAUCUUUAAAAUAUUGAACUGUGGCUGCUGUGCCUCGUGGAAAGGUACAGGCUUCUCGUCCGGGAGUUGCAUUGUGUGGAUGCAAACCUGUUGAUGAGUGGUUUAAGCUAAUUCUCAUUUAUACUGGACUCAUAAAUCCAUAAACUUUGGUAAGAACUCAGCUGCAGCCGAUGUUAUUGGUUGAACUGUUUUCAUCUGAAGCCCAUUCUGAAUCCCCAACAAAAAUAGUAGGCCAGAUGCCCAGACAGCAGCUAGAGACCCUCAUUAGGCAUCAUUUGCAUCCUAUUAACCACUGAGCUGUGGGUCAUUCGCUGCCUGUCAACCAUUCAAGUCAUUCCUUUUGUGUUAAUUAGUAGAGAAAUAAGGAGUUAAUGAAGAUCUUAUGAUCUGUGAUGAUUCAUCUUUGUUGUUUCAAACGAAUCCCUGCUCUCCGAGCACCCCAAUGAGCUCCUGCACACCGAAUAAUAGAGGAAUAGUGGAGGGAGCUUAGGGCGGCCUUUGGAGUGCCAUUCUCUGGGGACCUUUUGCAUGGUGGGCUUUGUUAGCUAAAGAUUAGAAGGAGUUAAUUGCUUCAAGAUUGCUCGCAGAUUAGGUUACAUGGUGUGUUGUAUCUAUGUAAGCAUAUGUCAGGUCUAGUUAAAAGAUAGAAGAUGCUUAUUUUAAUAAAAUUAUGAAAGGAAGAAUUAA